CAUGCAAGUCGUACGAGAGUUUUGAACUCAAGUGGCGGACGGGUGAGUAACACGUAAGAAUUUGCCUCUAGGAGGGGGACAACAGCUAGAAAUGGCUGCUAAUACCCCAUAUGCUUCCGAGUGAAAUGGAUUUUUCCGCCUAGAGAGAAGCUUGCGGCUGAUUAGCUUGUUGGUGAGGUAAUGGCUCACCAAGGCGACGAUCAGUAUCUGGUUUGAGAGGACGAUCAGACACACUGGAACUGAGACACGGUCCAGACUCCUACGGGAGGCAGCAGUGGGGAAUUUUCCGCAAUGGGCGAAAGCCUGACGGAGCAAUACCGCGUGAGGGAUGACGGCCUAUGGGUUGUAAACCUCUUUUUUCAGGGAGGAAUCAAUGACGUGUACCUGAAGAAUAAGCAUCGGCUAACUCCGUGCCAGCAGCCGCGGUAAGACGGAGGAUGCAAGUGUUAUCCGGAAUCACUGGGCGUAAAGCGUCUGUAGGUGGUCCAAUAAGUCAACUGUUAAAUCUUGAGGCUCAACCUCAAAAUCGCAGUCGAAACUAUUAGACUAGAGUAUAGUAGGGGUAAAGGGAAUUUCCAGUGGAGCGGUGAAAUGCGUAGAGAUUGGAAAGAACACCGAUGGCGAAGGCACUUUACUGGGCUAUUACUAACA
rnacentral:rRNA from 1 species